ensembl:lncRNA
AUGCACUGGAAAAAAUUCUACAGUUGAGUCCACUCUUGGUAGGAAAAAAAAGUCUGCUUUGGGGAAUUUUAGCUUACAAUUGAUCCUUAAAAUCUUCUGAAAUCUUUGGUUUAAAAUCAACAAGAGGCAAGAUGAGCUUUGAGGCCACUCCCAACCCUUUCCAUGAUUCCAUGGCCCUGCACCCCAAAAGAGAGCUCCUCCUGUACUAUGUAAAACUCAUCUUGCUCUCUGCUGGUUUUCUAACCUUCAAGACUCACCAAAAUCUUGAUUUUACAGCACGUGAUUCACCUCUGUGUCUUUCACUUCCCUUUUCCUUCCUCCUCUGCUCUGCACCCGUUCCCACCUGGAUCCUGCCGGCUCCUCGCAGGAGUUCUGCUAUCGCCUUCUCCACUAUAAAAUAAAAUAAAUACCCACUAUAAAAUAAAAUAAAUCCAUGACCAUUCACGUUUCUUCCUCCUGAUGAAGAAACUGAGGCACGGGAAGGGGAAAUGAAGCCAAAACAAAAAAAAUCCCCCAAGAUUUUACGGGAAGUCGGGACGGACUCUGGCUCCCAGUCAGCAUCUCUGCCUUCUCUCCCUGAAGAAUCUGCUAUUUAUAGCUCUGCUUUGCUCCUUUAGAACAUAAUCAAAACCAUCCUCCCUCCAUAUGAGAACUCAUCCAGCGGUACUAACCCUCCCGGGAGAAAACUUCCCCAAAUUUGCAAUUCAGCCGUCGGAAACGCCUCUGCAAAGGGAAACUUCCACCGGCGCGGGGAGCGCGGGGAGCGCGCUCGGCCCGGCUCGGCUCCAGCCCCGGGCGCAAGCCGGGCUCCCUCCCACGCCACCGAGAAGGCUGCUCGGCUCAAACCCCCCCGAGUCAUUUCCUGCUGCCGCGGGGACGGCUCGGCAGCGUCCCGCCGAGAAGGAGCGGCGCCGCUCCGGCAGCCGACACCCAGCGGAGGACGAUGAGGUUCUGCAUGGCGCUGCUCCUGCUCCUCCAGUCCCUGCCGGGGAAGGCGGAGCUCCAAGACGACAUAGAGGAGAUCGCACAGGAUUUAUACGACUACAUGGCUCAUUUAAGCAACUACUAUUCUUCCACAGAAGAUUAUUACUAUGACAACAUCACAGCAACCCCUGCCACGUACGUCUAUGAGUUUGAUUCCUACGAGGCAAACGUCACUGAAUAUGUGGAUUGGGAGAAGUUGUUUUCAGAAGAGCAUGUCACCACUGAGGUUCCACAAGUACCAGAUACAAAUGCUCCAGGGGAUUCCAGGGAUGCUAAGGACAGUCAGGUGGGUGCCUGUCAGCUCAGGAGCUCUGCCACAGGCUUUUAGCACAGUAAAACAUGGGACUUCCUGACUGAUUUAUUUUCCUUGGCUCACCAGGAUUUCCAGGAGUCAUUGGGAUUGUCCCUGCAGGGCCACCUCACCCUCAUCAUCCUCCUCAGCUUCCUGGGUCUCCUGCUAUGAUGCCCGGACUGCUCCUCCAAAGGUACUCUGGGAUUUCAACACUCACUCCAAGUGUGUCCUUGAACCCACGGAAAUCCAAUUCUUUCUGAAGCAGCAACUUUCCAAAACAAUGGAAAGAUAACAAACCCUUCCAGGCAGAUAACAGCCCGUCCAGCUGCGACAUCAGGGAACUCCCCAGCAGCUCUGACCACCACUGAUGGCCUGGAGAGGCUUUCCAGGGCGUUUUCCCUGUUGGUAUUCAGUGGGACCUUCACAGGGUGUGAGGAACCAGGCACGUCCUGCUGCUCCUCCACCCCAACACCGUUCCAUAAAACCCUGAAUGGUUUGGGUUGGGAUGAACCCUACAGACCUGCUGGUUCCACCCUCCUGCCCAGCUUCCUCCAAAGCUCCAGCCCACCUGCCAACUUCUUCCCACAGCUGGAGCUCUCCAACAUCCCAGGAGGUGGCCAACCUCUCUCCUGCCACACCCUGCUCACCUUUCUCCCUCCUUCCAGAUACCAUGGCUGGGAUGGUGACCAGGACACUGUCAGGUGGUGACGAUGACAUCCUCUCCUCGAGGUGUUGUCUCUGUUCCAGAACUGCUGAGAUGUUUUUUCUGGAGGUUUUGGUGGAGAGCUGGUGCUGCCCCGGCGGUGCGAGCACGGAGAGCUCAGCAACCCUUCAGGCCUUUCCUGUUUCCUUGGAUUCCGCUGUAAAUAAGAACCUCUGCCAAUAAACUCCCCAACACCUGGUGCA